rnacentral:rRNA from 1 species
CAAGUGCGAGACGGAUAACAGGGGUAGCUUGCUACCCGCUGACGAGCGGCGGACGGGUGAGUAAUGCAUAGGAAUCUGCCCGGUAGUGGGGGAUAACCUGGGGAAACCCAGGCUAAUACCGCAUACGUCCUACGGGAGAAAGGGGGCUUCGGCUCCCGCUAUUGGAUGAGCCUAUGUCGGAUUAGCUAGUUGGUGAGGUAAUGGCUCACCAAGGCAACGAUCCGUAGCUGGUCUGAGAGGAUGAUCAGCCACAUCGGGACUGAGACACGGCCCGAACUCCUACGGGAGGCAGCAGUGGGGAAUAUUGGACAAUGGGGGCAACCCUGAUCCAGCCAUGCCGCGUGUGUGAAGAAGGCCCUCGGGUUGUAAAGCACUUUCAGCGAGGAAGAACGCCUAGUGGUUAAUACCCAUUAGGAAAGACAUCACUCGCAGAAGAAGCACCGGCUAACUCCGUGCCAGCAGCCGCGGUAAUACGGAGGGUGCAAGCGUUAAUCGGAAUUACUGGGCGUAAAGCGCGCGUAGGUGGCUUGAUAAGCCGGUUGUGAAAGCCCCGGGCUCAACCUGGGAACGGCAUCCGGAACUGUCAGGCUAGAGUGCAGGAGAGGAAGGUAGAAUUCCCGGUGUAGCGGUGAAAUGCGUAGAGAUCGGGAGGAAUACCAGUGGCGAAGGCGGCCUUCUGGACUGACACUGACACUGAGGUGCGAAAGCGUGGGUAGCAACAGAUAGAUCCCUGGUAGU